UAGAGCAGUGGUUCUUAAUCCCUCUGGGGUUACAGACCACUUUGAGAAUAGGGUGAAACCUGUGGCCCUAUCACUCAUCCAUCUAUCAAUAUAUACACUUAAUUUUCCAAAACUUUAAGGGAUUCACGAACCCGUCAAACUAAUCCAUCUACUCCAGAUUUAAAAGCCUUACUCCAGAGGGCAGUAGCUUGGUUAAUUUAAUUUUAAAAAAUUAAAAUUUUAAAAUUUUAAUAAAUUUUAGAAUUGUAAUAAAAACUAAAAAUCUCAAAGAUUGGAGGUCAGUAGUACAGAGAAUAAUAAUUCCACCACCCCGUAAUAAAUGUUCAAAAUUAAGGAAAUUGCAUCAUAUCAACCAUCAUAUAUGCGUAAUACAUCAAGUAGAAACAAAUGUGUUUCUCUAAAAAUAACAGAAAAAAAUCCUUCUGAAAUAUGGUAUAUAAUCCAAUUAAUUUGACAUAAAUAACCGUUUAAAAAGCUUAUUUAUGGCUUACACACAUUUCUGUCUUUUCAGCAUCUUCUCAAAUUUCAUUUGGGGUGAGUAGGUGGGCUGUAUAACUCGGAGCAAAGAUUUUUUUCCCCCUCAUUUCAAAUUCCUCCUCUACUGAAACAAAAGAAAUAGCUAAUAACUUUUAUUCUGAAAUUAUUUUUAAAAUAUCUGUUAAAAUAUGGAAGAAACAUUGAUUUAGAGAUGCCAGAAUCUUUAAAAUAAAUGAGUUGAGAGUAGAAAGGUGGAUUUUAUAACGCACGUUUCUAAGAAUAUUUGGAAAUUAUUAAAACUAUAGAAUCUUAGGUUGGAAGGUUCUAGGUAAUCAUAUUCAGUGGUUCCCAAUAUUUUUUCUGCCCUAUCAUACCUAAGAAAAAGGACACACUCCCAUUAGUAACUAUUGCUCCUCAUAAGACUGAUUUUCAGUUGGGAGUUACAUUUCUUUCUCCAAUGGCUUCCCCUACAUUUAGAACAAAAUCCAGAGUCCUUACUCUGACUUAUAAGACUCUCUGAGUCACCAAGGAUUAUCUGUGAUUACCUUCUGACUUCAUCUCCUAAAAUACUUUUAUCCACUCUCAUUACUCUCUAGGUACACUGGCUUCAUGCUUUUCCUCUAGUAUACCAGGCACACUCUUACCUUAGGGCCUUUGCACUUGCUAUGUCUCUGCCUAGAAAUCUCUUUUCCCAUAUUCUUUCAUGGCUUCCUCCCUUUAUUAAGGUCUCUACCUUAGCAAAUUCUUCACUGUCACCCUAUGGAAAAUAUCAGUCUCUGCCCUCCCUAUUUCUUUCACUACAUUAACACUAUAUGAAAUUACAAUUUACAUGAUCAUUUUCUUUAUCAUCUAUUUCCAGAAUUAGAAUGUAAAUUUCAAGUGGACAGGGACAUUGUCUUGUUUAUCACUGUGUCCUCCUUACCCAGAAUAAUACUUACUGUAUUGAGGUACUUUGCUACAAAUAUUCAGUAAAUGUUUGUUGAAGGAAGGGAUAGUGUUGCACUGUCCAUUCAUUGUCAGUUAACUUCCCUUGCCCCAUGAGUUGCCCAUUGUUUUUCUUAGUUCAUGACUAUGUAUUAUAAUUAUUUUCAUAUUACUCCUUAUGUGACUAAGGUGUUCUUACUGUUAAUACAAAGAUCUGAGGAAUGAAAUGCGAUUAUCUUAUACUGCUACCCACGGAGUGAUGUACUCUGGCAUCUCUUUCUUGAUGGGCAGUUGUGGCUCUAAGCAGCACCACUGAUUUUCAGAGUAAUCUCUGAGGGCUUGGUUAAGACAUGUUGAAGAGAUAACUCCUGUUCACAUAUUCAGGUAACAAAUCAAGCUAUUUAAUAAAAAUGUAGGAUUCUUCCUAGUCACAUAUCUUUUUUUUUUUUUUUUUUAAUG